UAAACACACAGGUAAACACAAGUAAACAUACAGGUAAACACAGGAAAAUAUACAGGUAAACAAAAACAUAAACAUACAGGUAAAUAUACUGGGGCCUGUUUCACGAAGCAGGUUCACUGAAAACUUCUUAACCCUGAAAUGAGGGAAACUCAGAGUUUUCCGUUUCACGAAGCGAGGUAACUUAACCCUGAGACAGAGGGGUAACUCUAGCCUGUUUCACAAAGAGGGGUAACUUCAACUCUCGGUCAGUUACCGCAGUAACAGACUCUAUGACUCUAACCUGGUCACCAGCAGGUUUAUCUGAGAAAACCUCCAGUUUCUCUCCGUCUCCGCCCUCUUUCAGCCACACGCUGUUUCAUUUCCUCAUUCAUUCAGUUAGUAAGCGAGCGAGUUUUGGCGUAGAACAGCUUUUAUUAACGAUCCAGUGGAUAAAGGAGCAGCAUUACUGCACAGAUAAUUAAAUAUUCGUCGGUAGAUUGUUAUCAGACCGAGCAUAAAUGUUCUCGCAUUUCCGGACAGUUAUCGGUUUGAGCGGUACCGUUUCGUAAUCGUUUCAAGUCCAUAAUCUACAUAAACAACCUAAUCCGUCCUUACAUUUACAUUACCAACCAGUCAUGCUCUCACAUCCAGCAGAUAUUGUGUGUUGCUGCGGUUCUUUGCAAAUGGAAGUUUUUAUAUGAUGUCAGAGAUGCAGAGUAAGACAACUGUAUGGAGGACAGUCAGAAAAGUUUUCCUGGCUCUGAAACGACUUUUACCAUCAUUGUGGACAUAAACCUGUCAGAACAUCAAGGAGGAUCCACAGGAUUGCAGGAUUUCCCAGUGUGAUUGGCUGCAUAGAUGCACACACAUCCCCAUCACAGCUCCCUCACAUCAUGAACAGGAAGUCCAUUCACAGCAUAAAUGUGCAGGUAGGCUACAGGUAGACUGACUACUGUUUCUAAAUGUUAAAGACUGCAUCAUAGUUCAACAUCUGUCAUUCUCUGCACUGUCCAGAUCAUAUGUGAUGCUGCAUACAUCAUUUCUAAUGUGGAGGCCACGUGGUCUGGGUCUGUUCAUGACUCCAGGAUUUAUGGAGAGUCUAACCUGAGCAACAGACUGCAGCGUGGUCAGCAGCAUAAAGAUUUUCACAAUAGAAUUCUCUUGUCUCCCUCCUUUAAUAUGCUCUUAUGUAUCCACUAUACAUUACAGGAGAGUUUGAUGGCCUUCUGCUGGGUGACAGGGGUUACCAUGACAACCCAGGCUGAUGACCUCAUACCCUGACCCUGAACCAGGCCCCCAACAGAACUUCAACCGGACUCACUGCAGGACCAGAGCCCGGGUGGAGAUGACCAUAGGCCUGCUGAAAGCCCGUUUCCAGAGCCUACGUCUCCUCAGGGUGACCCCUGAGAGGGCCUGUGAUAUUACUGUGGCAUGUGUUGUUCUUCAUAAUAUUACUAUUAGAGGAGAGCAACACCCUGCCCUACAAACUGAAGACCCAGAUGAUGAGCCCAUCCACCUGCAGCUAUCCAGGACAGCAGAGCAGUCAGAGACACCGUAUGCAAGAAUCACUUUAGAGUUUAAGUCUCCAUCAUCACCACCACAGCAAAUAAAGACAUGAUACACAUUUCA